rnacentral:tRNA from 1 species
GGAGAGAUGGCAGAGUGGUCGAUUGCGGCGGUCUUGAAAACCGUUGUACCGCAAGGUACCGGGGGUUCGAAUCCCUCUCUCUCCG